ACGUAUUGUUGCUGCCGCUGGUUGGUUUUAUUGGUAAUUUUCAGAGUGAGAAGCAUUCCCUCGGAAUACUUGCCAAGUGUUUGUAACGUUGGCCGGCGAUUAGUUUGUACCGAGUGAGCGAGUGAUAUGAAGGUGUUUUAAAACUACGCGAGAAAAGUGAAGCGCAUGAAUAGAAAUAAAAAAUAUUUUACAUCUCUGUUUGUUGCAAAAUAAUCAAAAGCGCAUAAAAACCGGCAAUAAUUAAAGGUCUAUAACUUACAACUAUUAUAGAUAUAAUUAUGUGUGGGUGAAGUGAAAUAUGCAAUAGAUUAUCAGCAAACGAAGUGGAUAAUAAAAGUGUCUGUACCCUAGUUCUUAGUAUUGUGGAAUACUCAAUAAUCAUGUCAAAACUAAACUAUUCGGGAUAAUUAAAAAAUUAUAUGUGUUUAAAGAAAACACCCGCUAUAUAUAAAGUAUAUGGUUCGCUUAAUGAGCUGAGACAAUAAUUUUAGCUUUACAAAAAUAUGGAAUUUAUUUGAUUAGUGAUAAAAUAGCCAUGUAUACUUUAGCAAAUGUUGGCUGAUAAUCACAAUUAGAAUCAUUCAUACGGGAGCAUGGUGUUCUAUUACCAACGCAUUCCAUACGACAAACGGCCGGAAAGCCACAUGACGACAAAUCAACAAGUAAACGGGAGAAAGAGAGAAAGAGAUGCGACGUUGCAGAGAAUUAAAAUAUAAUAAUAACAAAAAAUUGUGUGAGAGCGAGAAAUGUGUGAGAUUGUGCGGCUUAAUUGAAUAUCGAAUAAGAGCGCACUAAAAUUACAAUCAGGCAGAAUUAAAGCCAAGUAAGUGUAGUGGUGCCUAUAUUUUCAGUGUAGUGGAAAAGCAAUAAAUAGUGAAUAACAUAACACGUACAAUGUGAAAAGUAAGAGAAUAAGCCAAACUGAAAAAUGUAAUAUUAAUUUAAAAGAAUCAACGAUUAUUUGAAGUUAACUGGUGUAAAAAAUAAACGAGAAAGUGUAAUGCUAAAAAUAUAGGCUGGGAGAUGUGCUUAUAAUUUUGCGUCGGCAGCGACAGUGGAAGCUGGUUUUUAGUUAUUAAUGAAUGAAUUGAUUGAACAACGAGAUUGUAAACAAACAAAAAGGCGAGUGCUGAUAAAUAAGUA